rnacentral:rRNA from 1 species
UCAUAGACGAUGAGGUUGAUAGGUUCGGUGUGGAAGUGCAGUAAUGCAUGGAGCUGACGAAUACUAAUCGGUCGAGGACUUAUCCAC